rnacentral:rRNA from 1 species
GUUAGCCUAUGUGCGAGUGGCUGGGUGAAUGCGUGGGGUGGUAGGGGUAAUGGGAAGUACAGGGGGUAAAUGAGGCGGAGGGGGUGAUGUGAGAAAGUGGUGAACGCCCCGGGCUCAACCGGGGAACUGCGUUUGUGACUGCAUAACGAGAGUACGGAAGAGGGAGGUGGAAUUCCACGGGUAGCAGUGAAAUGCGUAGAGAUGUGGAGGAACACCGAGGGCGAAGGCAGCCUCCUGGGCCAGUACUGACGCUCAUGCACGAAAGCGUGGGGAGCAAACAGGAGUAGAUACCCCGUAGUC